rnacentral:lncRNA from 12 species
AUGAUCAGGUGUGGGACCAGCCUCACGUGUCUCCGGACUUCACAGUGGACUUUCCUUUUUCUGGGGAUGAUUCCAUCUGUGCUCCAUCUUCACCCUGAAUCAGCAACACGCCCCAGCCACACUCUUGACGAUCCCAGGGGCGUGACAGCCAGAGCGCCAUUAGAGGGUGCCAGGAUGACAGUCGAGACCCGUGUUGACACAGGCAGAGACGUGUUUGGGGCAGGUGACAUUGGAGGAACAGCGUGGUGCCUGGAGGAAGCCGGCAGCAGAGGGAACAGGGGAGGCACGAAGGGUGACCAUAAAGGCAGACGCUACGUGCCAGUCCCCACCACCCGCCAUGCUCGAGAGGGAGGGGGACCAGCCAGCCCAGCGGGAGCUGGUGCAGAACCAGGCAGGUGAGCCCCAGAGACCCAACACAGUGCAGACGACCCUGGAGGUCACCGGUCUUGUAGUUAGUGGUGCGUUAGCGACAGUAACGCGCCCCUUGGCAUCACCCCCCUCCCACCCCCGGACUGGGUGUUCAACUGUGAAAGAAAAGAACAAAAUUAAGGAAUGUGCACAAAAGACUCGAGAUAGGGUCAAAGCUGCUUUGAAAUGAGAGAUUUCACCGUACUUUUUAGCUUUCAGGGUGAAAAACAAUCCCAUAAGAACAUGCGAGUUUAUGAUUCACUUGAUGAUACAUGAAGUGGAGACGGGUGAGGACGGGUGAGACCCGUUACCUACCCCAGGACGGUUCCAAGCCUCAUAGGUAUUCACUCUUCGCCCUCACAACCUCCCUACGAGGGGGUGCUUUUACCAUCCCCCAUUCCACAGUGAGAUGUUGAGUGGCUGGCUUGUCACAGGGCUCCGCGUCGGGGCUCCUACCCGCUCCGCCAUCCUGCCUCCCGGAAGCACCCUGCCUCCCUCUGGGCAAGUUGGGGGUGGCUGUCCUGGGUGGAGGGGGCGGCCCUGCUUCCCCCCCCAGGCAGAGCCCCAGCAGCCCAGGACCUCAGAGGGCUGGUCCGUCCAUUCCUGGGAAGCUCCAGCCAGCCUCUCGGUGGCACAGCCAAGGCAGCGCCAGUGCCCAGGGGUCGAAGCUGGACUAUUUAGAGCGCCUCCUGCCAGUGUUCCCCUGGCAGCCUGACACCAAACCACGAGGGUGGAAACCCCCCGCCCCCGAGGUCUCUUGCGUGAAGAAGGGAGCAGAUGGAUUCCCAGAACUGUAGGAGGUAAGUCCCUGUCCUGUCCGGGCUCGGCCCCUCUCCCUGGCCACCCCGUCCGCUCGUGCCAGUUAACAGACCUACAAAUGAGAAAAGCACAGGCCACUUACUCAGAGCUCGCAGGCGGGGGCCGGCCGCUGUCACCGCGUCUGGGGCAGGGAUGGGAGAGCCUGCAGCGGGGCCGGGGCCGUGGGCGUGGG